rnacentral:misc_RNA from 1 species
GAUGAAGAACGUAGCGAAAUGCGAUAAGUAAUGUGAAUUGCAGAAUUCAGUGAAUCAUCGAAUCUUUGAACGCACAUUGCGCCCGCUGGUAUUCCGGCGGGCAUGCCUGUUCGAGCGUCAUUUCAACCCUCAAGCUCUCCGGAGUUUGGUGUUGGGGCGCCUGGGGCUUUACGACCUCAGGGCCCUCAAGUCCAUCGGCGGGACCGCCAGGACACUGAGCGCAGUAGUAUUAUUUCGCUCGGUAGGAUCUUCCACGGCGGGUCGAUCUGGCCGCUAAACCCCCCAAUUCUCACCAAAGGUUGACCUCGGAUCAGGUAGGAAUACCCGCUGAACUUAAGCAUAUCAAUAAGCGGAGGA